ACCUUGGAUAUGAAGUCAAAACAGAGACAGGGCAAUCCACCCACUUGAGUUGUUGGGGUACCCACUUGAAGUCCAAGCGGCAUGUCUGCAGCAUGUGUGUGUGUGCGGGGAGGCAGAGGAAUAAAUUCAGCCUCUUUGGUUGGUGGUUCAGUCUCUGAAUGUUCCAUGUUAGUUAACUCUGUUGGUCAAUUUUGUGGAUUCUCUACUCACUCUGGGUUCCUCAAUCCUCACAACUCUUCCACAAGACUUUGUGAACCCCACCUAAUCUUUAGCUGUGGGUCUCUGCAUUGUUUCUGUUAGCUUCUGGGGGAGACUCUGAUAGUACAGUUUUGCUAGGCUCCUCUCGAUAAGCAUAACAGUAUCAUUUAUAGUGUUAGGGAUUUUUUUCUUGCCUAUGUGAUAUAGCUCAAGUUGUGCCAGUUAUUGGUUGGCCACCACAUUUGCUCUUUGAAGUUCCUAAUUGAAUGGGCAUUAUCUUUUUUUAUAUUUUUCUAUUCAUCACAUUUAUAUGUAAGUCUUGUUUCUUAGCAAUAUUGUUUUUAUAUGUAUCACUUGAACAAUGAUUAACACACGUUGUAACAAAAUGACUACUGAAAAGGGUAAUAUUUAGCCUAUUAAAUUUAGACUAAACAAUAUAUGCAACCAAUGUGUCAUAUUCAUUCUAAUUAUAUUCUAUUUUAGACAUUUCCUUAUUUCUAUGUUGUGUGGCUCUAAAGGUUAAUGCUAGAGUAUUCUAGAAUUAUUAAUUUAAGAUUAACUUGUAAAUAAGUCUUAUUUUUCCAUCAAUUAUGUAUUCAAAAUAUACUUAGCAUAUUUUGUGAAAGGUUCAUUUAAAUCAACCGGAAAAGUAAGAAUGAUAGGAAAAUGUGAGAAAGUACAUACAUGAAUGAUUCAAAAAUGUGUUAUAAAUGGCCACAAAUAUAAAAAUAUAUUCAAUUAUGUACAUUUUUUUACUAAAGGAUUAACUGUCAUAUAAAAUAAGAUCAGAAUUAUAAAAGAUAUAUUAAGAAAUGAAUUUUCUUUUUUCACCUAUGAGAUUCGAUGAAAUAUUUGCAAACAAAAUUUAAAGCAAUUUAAAUUCCAGAUAAUAUUGAAAAACUAAUUAAGAUAGAGAUAUAUGAUGAAAAUUAGCAUAUUUUAUCACUAUUUCACUUUUAGAAAAUCACUUAUAGUAUGUAAUUUGAAGUUUAAAAUAUGUGAAGCAUUAAGAGUACUCAUCAUAGUGAAUAAUUAUGUUUGUUAUUAUUGAUAUAUAUGUAUCAAUCAUAAUUUUAAUUAAGUAAUUGAUUUAUGUCUAGUGAUUAUGAUAAUGUAUGUUCAAAUUAGCUGGCAAAGGUCCCAGAUUGAAAAGUUCAUUCAUUUUUGCUGAGAACCAUUUAUGUCUGAAACAUUGAUGUAUAUAUCCAUAUCAAAUGUUAUAUGCAUAUGCUUCUCUAUGUGGUAAAUAAACCAAUUUUAUCAAAUGGAUAUUUUAAAUU
rnacentral:lncRNA from 1 species